AUACGAAGGGGGCUAGCGUUGUUCGGAAUUACUGGGCGUAAAGGGCGCGUAGGCGGCGAUGUAAGUCAAAUGUGAAAGUCCUCGGCUUAACCGGGGAAGUGCAUCUGAAACUGCAUUGCUUGAGUAUGGGAGAGGAAAGUGGAAUUCCCGGUGUAGAGGUGAAAUUCGUAGAGAUCGGGAGGAAUACCGGUGGCGAAGGCGACUUUCUGGACCAAUACUGACGCUGAGGCGCGAAAGCGUGGGGAGCAAACAGGAUUAGAUACCCUAGUAGUCC
rnacentral:rRNA from 1 species